ACGUGGUUAACGAUAAUAAUAAUGGUGUUCCAUGAAUCUAUAUAAAUCUGUUUCUGUUUUAAAUUAUUAUACAACAAAUCUAUGUACUUCAUCUCGCGAUAUGUACACACAUAUAAUAAUUUUAGUAUUGCGUUAAUGUUUUCUAUUAUCCAAUUUAAUAUGAAUGGCACUCAUAAGUUAUAUAUAGGAGUAAGUUUAUGAAAAAUAAGACGCGUACAUUUUUUGUGUAAACGAGUUUUAAAUAAGUUUUCAAUUACUAAGUUUUUUUAGAUUAACAGAAUAUAAACACAAACUGAUCCUUUACACUGGUUCCUAAAAGAACGCCUAUGACGACUCGGUUACGGCCGUAUGGAUCCCAGCGGAAGACAGAUGAAGUUGGCCAUGGGCGAGUCAAGGCCAUCUGAAUCAACAAGCUGCGCUUAUAAGGCCGUUUCAUUCUCCAUGAUAACUGUUUCUGCAUAGUGGCCAUGAAAACAAAAAAGACAGAACCUUAUUGCGCGCCCUCGGUGGACGAUUAAUGCAACCAUGAAAAAAUUUUGUAUACUAAAAUUUACUUUUGUGUUUUAUGGGUUGUAUAAUCAAUGCGUAAUUGCUUACUUUUGAUUGUAAUUUUUUCUAAGAACUAGUCGAAAAACAUCAAAAAUUAUAACAUUUUAUACGAAAAUAUAAUUUUAUUUAUUUAAAAAAAUAAAGAUUUACAUUUGGGUUA